rnacentral:rRNA from 1 species
AAAGCUCAAAUUUGAAAUCUAGCACCUUCGGUGUUCGAGUUGUAAUUUGAAGAUGGUAACCUUGGGUUUGGCUCUUGUCUAUGUUCCUUGGAACAGGACGUCAUAGAGGGUGAGAAUCCCGUCUGAUGAGAUGCCCAUUCCUAUGUAAGGUGCUAUCGAAGAGUCGAGUUGUUUGGGAAUGCAGCUCUAAGUGGGUGGUAAAUUCCAUCUAAAGCUAAAUAUUGGCGAGAGACCGAUAGCGAACAAGUACAGUGAUGGAAAGAUGAAAAGAACUUUGAAAAGAGAGUGAAAAAGUACGUGAAAUUGUUGAAAGGGAAGGGCAUUAGAUCAGACUUGGUGUUUUACGAUUAUCUUCUCUUCUUGAGUUGUGCACUCGUAUUUCACUGGGCCAGCAUCGAUUCGGAUGGCAAGAUAAUGGCAGUUGAAUGUGGCUUCACUUCGGUGGAGUGUUAUAGCUUCUGCUGAUAUUGCCUGUCUGGAUCGAGGGC